GUGAUUAACGUCGCCUUAAAUUUCUUUUUGCAUAUUCUUAUAAACAAAUAUGGAUUAAAAAACAUCUUAUACCAUCGUUGAGGUAAAACCGUACAUAUGGGUUGAGAUCUGAAGACCGUCAAGACCCUUUGACUCAUAUUCAUCCUCAUUGGUGAACCCACAAGCCCUGUGGACAGUGUUCGAGUCAUCCUGGGAGAGACCCGCCCAUCUGGAUAUAAAUAUUUCACCACAGGACUAUGGUUCGAACAGGUUUCUAAUAAGCUCCCGAGCAGCACUGAAUUAGAAGCAGAGUUUCUGCGGGCAGCGUGUCGGUCUCCAGUUCUUCAGAGACGAGGUUGAACUCCCCUGCACUGCUGACAGAAUCCGGUUGCCUGGCUAAGAUGAAUGGCGAGUGUGUAAAGGAGUUG